GACGAACGCUGGCGGCGUGCUUAACACAUGCAAGUCGAACGGAAAGACCCUGCUUUUGUGGGGUGCUCGAGUGGCGAACGGGUGAGUAACACGUGAGUAACCUGCCCUUGACUUUGGGAUAACUUCAGGAAACUGGGGCUAAUACCGGAUAGGAGCUCCUGCUGCAUGGUGGGGGUUGGAAAGUUUCGGCGGUUGGGGAUGGACUCGCGGCUUAUCAGCUUGUUGGUGGGGUAGUGGCUUACCAAGGCUUUGACGGGUAGCCGGCCUGAGAGGGUGACCGGCCACAUUGGGACUGAGAUACGGCCCAGACUCCUACGGGAGGCAGCAGUGGGGAAUAUUGCACAAUGGGCGGAAGCCUGAUGCAGCAACGCCGCGUGCGGGAUGACGGCCUUCGGGUUGUAAACCGCUUUCGCCUGUGUCGAAGCGUGAGUGACGGUAAUGGGUAAAGAAGCACCGGCUAACUACGUG
rnacentral:rRNA from 1 species